rnacentral:rRNA from 1 species
AGAGUUUGAUCAUGGCUCAGAUUGAACGCUGGCGGCAGGCCUAACACAUGCAAGUCGAGCGGUAGCACAGAGAGCUUGCUCUCGGGUGACGAGCGGCGGACGGGUGAGUAAUGUCUGGGAAACUGCCUGAUGGAGGGGGAUAACUACUGGAAACGGUAGCUAAUACCGCAUAACGUCGCAAGACCAAAGUGGGGGACCUUCGGGCCUCAUGCCAUCAGAUGUGCCCAGAUGGGAUUAGCUAGUAGGUGGGGUAACGGCUCACCUAGGCGACGAUCCCUAGCUGGUCUGAGAGGAUGACCAGCCACACUGGAACUGAGACACGGUCCAGACUCCUACGGGAGGCAGCAGUGGGGAAUAUUGCACAAUGGGCGCAAGCCUGAUGCAGCCAUGCCGCGUGUGUGAAGAAGGCCUUCGGGUUGUAAAGCACUUUCAGCGGGGAGGAAGGCGUUAAGGUUAAUAACCUUGGCGAUUGACGUUACCCGCAGAAGAAGCACCGGCUAACUCCGUGCCAGCAGCCGCGGUAAUACGGAGGGUGCAAGCGUUAAUCGGAAUUACUGGGCGUAAAGCGCACGCAGGCGGUCUGUCAAGUCGGAUGUGAAAUCCCCGGGCUCAACCUGGGAACUGCAUUCGAAACUGGCAGGCUAGAGUCUUGUAGAGGGGGGUAGAAUUCCAGGUGUAGCGGUGAAAUGCGUAGAGAUCUGGAGGAAUACCGGUGGCGAAGGCGGCCCCCUGGACAAAGACUGACGCUCAGGUGCGAAAGCGUGGGGAGCAAACAGGAUUAGAUACCCUGGUAGUCCACGCCGUAAACGAUGUCGAUUUGGAGGUUGUGCCCUUGAGGCGUGGCUUCCGGAGCUAACGCGUUAAAUCGACCGCCUGGGGAGUACGGCCGCAAGGUUAAAACUCAAAUGAAUUGACGGGGGCCCGCACAAGCGGUGGAGCAUGUGGUUUAAUUCGAUGCAACGCGAAGAACCUUACCUGGUCUUGACAUCCACAGAACUUUCCAGAGAUGGAUUGGUGCCUUCGGGAACUGUGAGACAGGUGCUGCAUGGCUGUCGUCAGCUCGUGUUGUGAAAUGUUGGGUUAAGUCCCGCAACGAGCGCAACCCUUAUCCUUUGUUGCCAGCGGUCCGGCCGGGAACUCAAAGGAGACUGCCAGUGAUAAACUGGAGGAAGGUGGGGAUGACGUCAAGUCAUCAUGGCCCUUACGACCAGGGCUACACACG